UUUUAAAUGGCCGCAGUAUUUUGACUGUGCAAAGGUAGCAUAAUCAUUAGUUUUUUAAUUAAAAGCUUGUAUGAAAGGCUGGACGAGGUAAAAUCUGUCUCUAUUUAAAUUAUAAUAGAAUUUAACUUUUAAGUUAAAAGGCUUAAAUAUUAUUAAAAGACGAGAAGACCCUAUAGAGCUUUAUAAUUUAUUAAAUAAAAUUAAUUUAGAAAUAUUUAUGUUUUAUUUAAUUAAAUUAUUUUAUUGGGGUAAUAGAAAGAUUGAAUUAAUUCUUUUUUGUAAUAAACAUUAAUUUAUGAAUAUUAAAUGAUCCAAUUUUAUUGAUUAUAAGAUUAAGUUACCUUAGGGAUAACAGCGUAAUUUUUUUAGAGAGUUCAUAUCGAUAAAAAAGUUUGCGACCUCGAUGUUGGAUUAAAGAUUAUUUUAGGUGUAGAAGCUUAAUAAAUUUGGUCUGUUCGACCAUUAAAUCUUUACAUGAUCUGAGUUCAGACCGGCGUAAGCCAGGUCGGUUUCUAUCUUUAAUAAAAUAAAAUAUUUUAGUACGA
rnacentral:rRNA from 1 species